CUUAAAGGGCCAGGCGGCCCUGGCACGUGCCGGCGGACGCGCGGCCGUGGCCCCGGCACCGCCGGCCUCGAAGAGCGGCCGGGGGGAGCCGUGAGACCCCGGGCCUUGGGGCCCGCCGAGCCGAGCCGUCGGGCGGAAGGCCCGUAACCGGGCGGGGAGCGGCUCCCGGGAGGCGGCUGCACGCUACGAGCAGGGCUGCCCUGCGGGAAGAGGACGAGGGCUCAGCAGCGCCUUAUCCAAUCGCUUUGCUACCGGCUUAGCGUUGCAGAUGAUGGCACCAGGCGUGUGGUCCCAAGGCAGAAGAAUGCAUAUGAACAAUGGAAGAAAAUUUGAUUUAUGAACAUUGAAUACUGAUUACUCUCACAAGCCAAGGACACAAUUUCUGUACUGUGAGUGUAAUGGAACUAUAUUACUGCGAUCCAGAACACCUUCAUCGUGGCCAACCUGCUGCUCCCGCCUCAACAAGGGUUCGUGCUCAUCAGGGCUUGAAUUAAUAUUCAGUCGACUAUCCUCUCCACUGAACUGGUUCUGAAGCAUGUCCUGUGCCCUCUGUGCUACUGAACUGGCUGUCUGGCCAGAUGGCACUGCCCCAUUGGCAUACUGGAUUGUGCCAGCAUGAGAGUUUAUGCUGUGGCUUCUACCAGCCACUCCAUUCAUGGUAACUGUCACCACAUGAGGUUCUGCGGCAUUGAUAGUGUUCAUCUUGGCAACGCCUGUUUCCACUUGCUUCAAGUUUGAUUUGUGCUUGCCACCAAAUUUUAACCGUGGCUCCUUCGUUGAAUUUUUGGUGUUUAGAGGAAGGCUAGUAGGCCUCUUCGGAAGGUUCUGUUGCUUGGGGAGAGGAUAGACCUGAGCAGAUGGGACAUCCGGAAUCAAACAUGCUUGACCAUUGCCAGCUUGUGCGAAGUCCUGUUGUCCUGUCACCUCUACUGCAAGUUUUAUCAGUGGAUAAAGCAAGCUGGAACUAGUGCUGCUGAGUGGAUCUGGCCCGCUAAACUGCUUAAGUGAAUGUUCCAUCAGAUUCUCGUCAGAGCUUUCUUUCAGGUUCUUAUCUACUUCUUUUGGAUCCAGUUUAUUUGUCUCCAAGUCCUCCUCUGUUAACUGCAGACAAACCGGAGUGGGCCCACCUGGCUGCAUGACAUUUGCAGUAUGUAAGUUGGUUUCAUCUGAAUAAGGCAUUUCAGAUAUGGUGGUCAUGCCAGUGCUAGGAGUGAGGCCAGUUGUAUUGGUGGUGGUAGUAUUGGUGGACAAACUGGUGACACUUGUCUCAGGACUAGGGAUGCGAGCUUGUGCUUGUUGCCGCUCGUAGUUAAUGGAGUUUCUGUUCUUUUCCCCUGACGUCAGUGGUGUUGUGGACAUUGAAUGCUCAGACGAAAUGUUCUUCACUAUGCUGUCAGUGUGGUGGAUUGAAUCUUCAAUGUAGGAGGAAGAAGAAUAAUCAGGAUAUGGCCUUAUCUUUGACACACGUCUAUGAUGUGACAGAUUCCUUUAAGAAAAAAUAAGCGAUAUUAGGGUCAUGUAUGUAAAUAUCACCUCAUGUUAUAAAGCCGCUCAUUUAAGAGAGAUGAAUGUCUUUAUUUCUUUUCAUGCAUCAACAAAAGACAGAUACAGUAACAACUGAGAUCCUUCUGUAACUUCCUUGAAAAGUCCUGGAUAGCAGAAAGUGGUUUUACUUGGACAACAGUUUUGUCACAAAUGUUAUUAUAUGAAUGGAGAACUGGCAACAGACACACUUUCCUGGGAUCACACUGUGGGAUGAAUGGUACAGUCAAGAUUAGAGCUCAAGACCUCCAAAUCAUCUGCCAUAUGGUCAGAGACCUGGAAAGGAGACAACUGAAAUUACGAGCAAUGAACAUUUGUACUUCCACUGCAUCCUGAGCACAGCAAGACAGACAUUUAUGGGCCCCUGCUGCCAGUUAAGGCCCAUGGAUAGAAUAUAAUUUGCCAGAAUGUCUCACAUCUCAGCCCAGCUUUAACUUCUCCAGCACUACUGACAGUGCGUAGUCCCAGCUGGGCACUAAAGCAUUCACUGGGCCCUGCUGAUUGUUUCUGUGCCAGAACUGCCAUGUUCACUCCUGGCAGUGAAAGACAAGAGUAGCUCUGCCUGCUAGCGAAGAGCUCCUCGCCCACAGAGCAGGCUCCUGGCAUCACUCGCAUCUGGCAAGUCACUGCUGCUCAGUGAUGCAGCUAUGGCUACACAGGCAGGGAUGAGCCACCACACAAGUAAAUCACCUCCCUUUCCACAGUCGAUUGAAGAAGGGCUAAGCAACCGAAAUACUCCUAGCUGAGGGACAUGAAUCUAAAAGCACCCUCAGGGACAAUGAGGAGAUACUGUACUGGGCUGUUUUCUUUCCAUGCUUCUGGGAAUUUUGGUCUUUGCUUCUCCCUGGACACUAAGACUUGCAUAUCUUCAAAAGUGGGAUGGUUUCCGACUUCUGUCUGGAAAGCCAUCUGGUACUCUGGCACAGACUCCCCUGUUAGCAAAAGAAAGAAUGAAAAUAAAAUACAUAUAUAUAUGUAUUAAAAAAAAAAGGCACGGCAAGAGCUUUCAAGUGAUGAAAGGUAGUAUAAAAAUUGCUGUCUAUCGAGACAUUGUGACUCCACCCCCAAACCCUUCCCUCCUACCCCCCAAAAAGCUGAAUUAACUGCGAAUGAACUAAGUGUUGUUUGGGAACCUCUCAAAGGAUAGCAUCUUCAAACUUUGCUGAUUGAGGGGUACCUUCAGGAUGUCCGGGAGCCUCAGGAUGACACCUAAUGUCUGUGAAACGUAAAUGACUGAGUUUACUUCAUCUGGGAGGAAGCCCAGACAGAUUACAAGUGCCUGCAUGUAAUGUGUAGCUGUUUGACUACAGAGGGAAUAUUGCAUGCCAGAUUAAUUCUAUAUGCUAUAGCUGAGGAAGAAGAUGGAGGUCGCUACAGUUGCUCACAUGUUAAGUUUUUACAGUUUAUUUCCUUUUGUUUUAUUUUACAGGUUUAGUUCCCUGAAUUUUCAAUGUCAGUAUCAUAAAUAAAAGUAUGAAUGGCUAAAGGCCACACUAAAUUACUGCAUUUUCCCAUCCAUUUAUUCAUUUUGAAAGUCUGAAAGAUAUUUCAGGCCCCGUAUCAGCUGUAAAUAUUCAUAGUACUGUCUUUGCCAUCAACCCAACUCUCAAUGUUCAUAAACUCUGGACAAUAAAAAUAGCACUCAAAUAGCACUCAAAUACGCAGCCUGCAAACUGCUUAAACAGGCAAUUUGAAGUCUGUCAGCAUGAUUCAUGCUUAACAAUACAGUGUAUUUGAGUGUGAACAGUAACAAUCUUGAACACUAGAUGGCACCGACUUAAUGGCAAAAAAUAACUGAUAAAAAUAUUUCCUUUCUUCACUUAAAAAGCUAUGACUAGGAUAACAUUGGUUGCUGGUACUCCUUUCUACUACUAUUGUUUUUUCAGUUACCUGGGAAGAGGUCUGUACAUCUCAUAAAUAUCUCCCAGUAGAUAAGGCCUAGUGCAUACAUAUCUACUUGUUUCAAAGCAGAUUCGCAGUCCCUCAAGUUCACUGCUCCUUCAAGCACUUCUGGGGCCAUAUAACGGAUUGUACCAACCUGGAAAAACAAAAUCCAAGUUUCAAAUCAAGAAGCAAUGUCCAAA